rnacentral:misc_RNA from 1 species
CCAAAUCAAUGGCCGAAAGGCCUUGCCCUAGGUGGGGAAACCCACCGACGGUAAACCCUUUGUGAAAACCCUCUUGUUUGCCUCGGCGGCACACCCUUCGGGGUGGUCAGCCCGCCGACGGCACCCAACCAAAACUCUUUUUGAAUUGAAGAAUCUAGUCUGAAUCAAUGGUCGAAUGACUAUA